UGAAUUCAGCUACAUCUUUGAAUGCCAAAAGCCAAAAAUAAAUGAACACAAUAUAAUACAAAGAAAAGAAAAGGAGAAAGUUGCUUUAGAUGGGAGAUUGGGAGACCUGUCAUACUGCAACUCAUGAAAACAACUUUCUCAACAAAUCCUACUUUAUGAGAUGUAUGAUUCAUAUGGAAAAGGUUUUCCUGGCUAUCAUUUUCUGAACAGGAUUCACCGAUGCGGGUACCUG
rnacentral:misc_RNA from 1 species